UACGUAGGAUGCAAGCGUUGUUCGGAGUUACUGGGCGUAAAGGGUGUGUAGGCGGUUCUUUAAGUUUGGUGUGAAAUCUCCCGGCUCAACCGGGAGGGUGCGCCGAAUACUGAGGGACUAGAGUGCGGGAGAGGAAAGUGGAAUUCCUGGUGUAGCGGUGAAAUGCGUAGAUAUCAGGAGGAACACCGGUGGUGUAGACGGCUUUCUGGACCGUAACUGACGCUGAGACACGAAAGCGUGGGUAGCAAACAGG
rnacentral:rRNA from 1 species